ACUAUCAACUACACCAAUGAUAAGCGGAAGUUAACAUUUACUCUGUUCAGUCAGAUUGAAAAAAGUGUUGAUUGGUGUGGUCCCAAGUAUUCUUUCUCUUUUGUGAAUUUCAAAGAUGUUGUUGAAAAUAAAGUUGAUGUUGGUACAACCGUUGAUUUCAUAGGGUAUGUUGAAGUCUGCUUUAAUAUGGAAGACACGGAUAAAAAAGAUGGUUCCAAAGGCAAGAGAUUGAACAUAAGAGUUAAGGAUAUUGAGGGUCAUCAAGUUAUUGCUACUUUGUGGGAUUCAUUUGCCAUAGAAAUGCAUGAUUACUUCAAUAAUCCAAACAGAGAAAAGCAUGUCGUUGUUUUGAUUCACUUUGGUGUUGUCAAUCUUUACAGAG